rnacentral:tRNA from 1 species
GACGCCGAGGCCCUGUGGUGGGGCGUAGGUCCGCAAAAUCUACCGGAGUGGGUUCGAUUCCCACCGGCGUCU